AAUGCGUAGAGAUCUGGAGGAAUACCGGUGGCGAAGGCGGCCCCCUGGACAAAGACUGACGCUCAGGUGCGAAAGCGUGGGGAGCAAACAGGAUUAGAUACCCUGGUAGUCCACGCCGUAAACGAUGUCGAUUUGGAGGUUGUGCCCUUGAGGCGUGGCUUCCGGAGCUAACGCGUUAAAUCGACCGCCUGGGGAGUACGGCCGCAAGGUUAAAACUCAAAUGAAUUGACGGGGGCCCGCACAAGCGGUGGAGCAUGUGGUUUAAUUCGAUGCAACGCGAAGAACCUUACCUGGUCUUGACAUCCACAGAACUUUCCAGAGAUGG
rnacentral:rRNA from 1 species